rnacentral:rRNA from 1 species
CAUAGCGACUAUCGUGGCAUAUCAAUAAGCGGAGGAAAAGAAACUAACAAGGAUUCCCUUAGUAACGGCGAGUGAAGCGGGAAGAGCUCAAAUUUGAAAUCUUCAAGGUUCUACCUUGACGAAUUGUAGUUUAUAGAAGUGUUUUCUGUUAGUAGGAGUGGCAAAAGUUCUUCGGAAUAGGACAUCAUAGAGGGUGAGAAUCCCGUAUUUGGUCAUUCCUUCCUAGCGUUGUGAUACACUUUCAACGAGUCGGAUUGUUUGGGAAUGCAGUCCAAAAUGGGUGGUAAAUUUCAUCUAAAGCUAAAUAUUGGCGAGAGACCGAUAGCGAACAAGUACCGUGAGGGAAAGAUGAAAAGAACUUUGAAAAGAGAGUUAAACAGUACGUGAAAUUGUCAAAAGGGAAGCGUUUGACACCAGUGUUGUUUUCUCGAAAAUCAAUUAAAAAAGGCCGGAUUUUGUGUUGUAUUGACCUUAAAAGCUUUCUUCACUCUUUUCUUGUCUUUUUUAAUGCACUUUUCGUUUAACAAGUCAACAUCAGUUUCUUUUGUUGUAAAAGGGUCAUUGGAAGGUGGCUUUCUUUUCGGAGAAAGUGUUUAUAGCCUUUGAUCUCUGCAACCGGAGAGACUGAGGUCUGCAGCGUAGACUCUUCGGGGUUAGAUACAUUUGUGCUAAGCUAUAGCUUUUUAUAGACAACUUGUUGACUAUAUUUAGUCUUGUGGCUUACUCGCUUAUGCUAUUUUACCUACGCUUAGGAUGUUGACGAGACUGUCGAUCUC